UACGGAGGAUCCGAGCGUUAUCCGGAUUUAUUGGGUUUAAAGGGUGCGUAGGCGGGCUAAUAAGUCAGUGGUGAAAGUUUGCAGCUUAACUGUAAAAUUGCCAUUGAAACUGUUAGUCUUGAGUACAGUAGAGGUAGGCGGAAUGUGUAGUGUAGCGGUGAAAUGCAUAGAUAUUACACAGAACACCAAUUGCGUAGGCAGCUUACUGGAGUGUCACUGACGCUGAGGCACGAUAGCGUGGGGAUCAAACAGGAUUAGAUACCCUGGUAGUCCACGCCGUAAACGAUGAUUACUAACUGUUUGCGAUAUAAUGUAAGUGGUACAGAGAAAUCGUUAAGUAAUCCACCUGGGGAGUACGCCGGCAACGGUGAA
rnacentral:rRNA from 1 species